rnacentral:rRNA from 1 species
UUUGGUUAAGCUAAUAAGAGCACACGGAGGAUGCCUAGGCACCAGGAGCCGAAGAAGGACGUGGCGAACGACGAAAUGCCUCGGGGAGCCGUAAGCAGGCUUUGAUCCGGGGAUGUCCGAAUGGGGAAACCCGCAUGCGGUAAUUCGCAUGUACUCAUUACUGAAUACAUAGGUAAUGUAGAGGCAGACGAGGGGAACUGAAACAUCUAAGUACCCUCAGGAAAAGAAAACAAAAGUGAUUCCGUCAGUAGCGGCGAGCGAAAGCGGAUUAGCCCAAACCAGGGGGCUUGCCCCCUGGGGUUGUGGGACGUCAAUAUGGGUUUAGCAGCGUAGGUGAAGCGGUCUGGAAAGGCCGGCCAAAGAAGGUAACAGCCCUGUAGCUGAAAUGCUGCGAAAACCCUAGACGGAUCCCGAGUACCGCGAGACACGUGAAACCUCGUGGGAAUCCGGCAGGACCAUCUGCCAAGGCUAAAUACUCCCUGGUGACCGAUAGUGAAGCAGUACCGUGAGGGAAAGGUGAAAAGAACCGCGGGAGCGGAGUGAAAUAGAACCUGAAACCGUGUGCUUACAAGAAGUCAGAGC